AUUGAACGCUGGCGGCAGGCUUAACACAUGCAAGUCGAGCGCGCGGCGGGAGGGUGAGUAAUGUCUGGGAAACUGCCUGAUGGGGGGGGAUAACUACUGGAAACGGUAGCUAAUACCGCAUACCCUCAGCAGUGCCCAGAUGGGAUUAGCUAGUGGGUGGGGUAAUGGCUCACCUAGGCGACAAUCUCUAGCUGGUCUGAGAGGAUGACCAGCCACACUGGAACUGAGACACGGUCCAGACUCCUACGGGAGGCAGCAGUGGGGAAUAUUGCACAAUGGGCGCAAGCCUGAUGCAGCCAUGCCGCGUGUGUGAAGAAGGCCUUCGGGUUGUAAAGCACUUUCAGCGAGGAGGCGUUACUCGCAGAAGAAGCACCGGCUAACUCCGUGCCAGCAGCCGCGGUAAUUC
rnacentral:rRNA from 1 species